rnacentral:lncRNA from 1 species
CCUGAAGGAUGAGAAGCUGCAACGACACCUCUAUGCUAAGAAAAACCUAACAUUCCAGGUUGCUCUGGAGGAGGCCCUGGCAACAGAAGCUGCUGAGAGGUCGACGCAAGAGGCACGACCAAGCCUGCCGUCCCAACCAAGGGUCCACCACAAAGACCUCACCGACGACUCAGGAUCCGACAGGGAGGAGGUGCACCGAGUACAGCAGCGCACUCAAGCAGCUCACAGACCACAGCUACCUCAACGAGAAGGGGGGAACUGCGCAAGCUGCGGGGAGAGUCACGAGAGGAGGACCUGUCGUUUCCGCAACACAGAAUGCAGGCAGUGCAGAAAAUCUGGACACAUCACCCGGGUGUGUCAGGCUCGGCCCACCCGACGCCAGGCAUCCGAUAACCAAUCCAAGAGCCCCAGGUCCCGGGGCCCAACGCACCAAGGCAACUCGACGGAGCUCACGGACUUCCAGGUAUAUCAGUUGCCCCACCCCAACGUAGAGAAAAUUUAUGUAGAAGUACAGAUAGAGGGGCCCCGUGCCACAUGGAGCUGGACACGGGUUCAACUCUAUCCAUAAUCUCAGCAAGGACCUUAAAGAAACUGUGUCCUAGUGGGGGUCCCAAACUCCGGCUGGCCCCAUUCAACCUCCAGGACUUCCAGAAACGUAAGGUCCCCGCAAUGGGGGUGGGGGUGACCCCCCCACCCCCCACAAUGGGGGUGACCACUUGCUUGUGGUCAAGGGCCCCUACAUUAGCUUACUGGGAUUGGCAUGGUUUGGACCACUGGGGCUAGCCGUCACCGGGGUGAACCGCUUUAGCUUACAAGUGGACGUGGACACCAUAUGCAAGGAAUUUCCGGGGGGGGGUUCAAUGGGAAAUUGGGACAAUAUACAGGGCCCCCUGUUGCUCUACAGCUUGACCCCGCAGUACAACCUGUCAGGCUCAAGGCCCGCCGGGUCCCGUUCGCCCUGAAACCCCGUAUAGACGAGGAAUUGGACCGGCUCGUGGAGCAAGGAGUGCUGGAGCCGGUGCCUAAUGCCCCCUGGGAAACCCCAAUCGUCACACCCGUCAAGCCUAAUGGUUCAGUCCGCAUCUGCGCAGACUACAAAUGUACCAUAAACAAGGCCCUCAUGGCCCACGCAUACCCAGUGCCAGUGGUCAGCCAUGUCCUUGCCACCCUGGCUGGGUCAAAAAAUUUUGGGAAGCUGGACUUGGCCCAAGCAUAUCAACAGCUGCCGGUAGAUGAGGCCACAGCAGAGGCACAUACGAUUGUGACGCACAAAGGAGCGUUCAGGGUAAAGCAGCUGUAACUCGGUGUCAGUGUGGCACCAGGCAUAUUCCAGAAUCUAAUGGACUCUCUCCUUAAAGGGAUUCCUGGUGUCACCCCCUUCUUCGAUGAUGUGUUGAUUGCUGGGCCCACGCCAGAGGAGUUUGAGGAACUCCUCUGCACCGUUCUGCACCAUUUCCAGACGGCGGGUCUCAAGGUGAAGCAGGAAAAAUGUCUACUAGGAGUACCUCAGGUGGACUUUCUGGGAUUUAUGGUGGAUGCAGAAGGGGUCCACCCGAUGGGGGACAAGGUACGGGCCAUUUGUGAUGCCCCAGCGCCCAAGAGCAAGACUGAACUUCAG